AGGGAUUGCCCCAGUAACGGCGAGUGAAGCGGCAACAGCUCAAAUUUGAAAUCUGGCCUCCGGGUCCGAGUUGUAAUUUGCAGAGGAUGCUUUUGGCGAGGUGCCUUCCGAGUUCCCUGGAACGGGACGCCAUAGAGGGUGAGAGCCCCGUCUGGUCGGACACCGAGCCUCUGUAAAGCUCCUUCGACGAGUCGAGUAGUUUGGGAAUGCUGCUCAAAAUGGGAGGUAUAUGUCUUCUAAAGCUAAAUAUUGGCCAGAGACCGAUAGCGCACAAGUAGAGUGAUCGAAAGAUGAAAAGCACUUUGAAAAGAGGGUUAAAAAGUACGUGAAAUUGUUGAAAGGGAAGCGCCUAUGACCAGACUUGGGCCCGGUGAAUCACCCAGCGUUCUCGCUGGUGCACUUUGCCGGGCACAGGCCAGCAUCAGUUUGGCGCGGGGGACAAAGGUUUCGGGAAUGUGGCUCCCUCGGGAGUGUUAUAGCCCGUUGCGUAAUACCCUGCGCCGGACUGAGGUACGCGCAUUGCAAGGAUGCUGGCGUAAUGGUCAUCAGCGACCCGUCUUGAAACACGGACCAAGGAGUCGUCUUCGUAUGCGAGUGUUCGGGUGUCAAACCCCUACGCGUAAUGAAAGUGAACGUAGGUGAGAGCUUCGGCGCAUCACCGACCGAUCCUGAUGUUCUCGGAUGGAUUUGAGUAAGAGCAUACGGGGCCGGACCCGAAAGAAGGUGAACUAUGCCUGUAUAGGGUGAAGCCAGAGGAAACUCUGGUGGAGGCUCGCAGCGGUUCUGACGUGCGAAUCGAUCGUCAAAUAUGGGCAUGGGGGCGAA
rnacentral:rRNA from 1 species